rnacentral:snRNA from 1 species
AAUUACCACCGAGCGGCGGGUAG